CCUACGGGUGGCAGCAGUAGGGAAUCUUCCACAAUGGGCGAAAGCCUGAUGCAGCAACGCCGCGUGGGUGAAGAAGGUCUUCGGAUCGUAAAACCCUGUUAUUAGAGAAGAAAGUGCGUGAGAGUAACUGUUCAAGUUUCGACGGUAUCUAACCAGAAAGCCACGGCUAACUACGUGCCAGCAGCCGCGGUAAUACGUAGGUGGCAAGCGUUAUCCGGAUUUAUUGGGCGUAAAGGGAACGCAGGCGGUCUGUUAAGUCUGAUGUGAAAGCCUGCGGCUUAACCGGAGUAGUGCAUUGGAAACUGGCAGACUUGAGUGCAGAAGAGGAGAGUGGAACUCCAGGUGUAGCGGUGAAAUGCGUAGAUAUAUGGAAGAACACCAGUGGCGAAAGCGGCUCUCUGGUCUGUAACUGACGCUGAGGUUCGAAAGCGUGGGUAGCAAACAGGAUUAGAUACCCCUGUAGUC
rnacentral:rRNA from 1 species